GCCAAGACUGAGGGAGUAGAAACGCUUUGCACAGGAGCUGAAGAAGACUGAUUAUUGUUAGAGAGAAAAGUAGAUGGAAAGCUUCCCAGUUGCUUCUGGAGAUCCAACAUAUACUUGUAACAUUGUGCAUAAUAAGUCAUCUGAGCUUCAACAAAGUCAUUGAGACAGCGGAGAUGAUGUGCAUGUGUGCUGCUGAUACCUUCCAGGAGAAGUCUGGUAAUCUCUGCUUGACGGUCAAAUUCACUUUGAGUAAUUCGUACUUCCUGUUCAGAUGCGGCUCGAGCUUCAGCAACUUUUGCCUUCUUCAAUCUGGUUUUCGCAGCAUCCAAAUCCAGUCUUUUAUUUUGUAAUAGUUUACGUUCUUUAGUAAUAGUUUUAUAGUCUCCUUCGAUAAAGUUUCUUAGGGGAGUGAGAAAGUUUAUAGCUGAAGUCUGAAUUAGUUCUCUGUCUGCUGUUCCGAUUUGCUUUUGUGUUUCUCCACAUUUAAUGAGUGCAUUUCCAUAUGCUGUUCCUGGGCCAAAUUCAUUACCAGCAUCGAUCAUAUACUGGCCUAAUAAUUCUGGAUUAUUCAUACGACUUGGUGCUUUCCGGUCCAGUUUCUCAUAGAAAAAUUCUUCUAUCCUAGCAUUUGGAUUUGGCUGCAAUAGCACUUCUGUUUGCUUCAUUAUUUUCUCUGUCCACUGCUUAGUGCAUUCUGCUUUGCUGAGAAGGUUCUCCAGGUGAGCAUCCAGUUCAGUCUUCUCUGCUUGACCAAGCUUUUCUUCUGUGAACUGCACGGCGCGGCUGAGAAAAGUGCCCGCGUCGGCCGCCAGCUUCUUCAUGUUAAAGUCCAUGAUGUUCAUCUUCGGCGGGGGCGGGAGGGCGCUGACUCAGCCCGGACACCCGCAGCGGCGGCCGCCGCUCCGGCCCGUCCCUGCGCGGAUCCGCCGGGGGGCGGUGCCGGCGCCCGACGCAGCCACCGAUUGGCCGCGGCCGCGGCGUCAGGCGCAGGGCCCGGAUCGGCAGCCGAAGUGACGGCGGCGGUCGCCUCGCGCCGCCGUGAGGGAGGCGCCGGGCCGCUGCGCGCGGCUCUUCCCGCCGCUGGAGGCGCGCGCCUGAGGGCGAGCUGUGAGCGCCGUUACCGCGCGCUGCGUGCGCCUUCCGGGAGUCGCUGCCGCCCACUCGUUCCGUUUCUUGAGCCCGGGGCUUUGUAAAUCAAAUCGUGCUCGGCUUCAUGAAAAAAGUGAGGCGGGUGGAGCGUGACAAUGGGAAGUGGCCAAGAAAUUGUGAGCAGCCGAUCAGAACGCGCUGCUAGUUCAACAGUCUUGUUUGGAUAACCACGUACAGACACAGCUGCAAGUAGCACUAGGUGCCACGGCAUUCAUUGAAAGUACCUUCGGUAUCGUAGCAUGGUGUCGGUGAGCAAGCAACUAGUCUCUAGUUUUAAUAAUUUUCACUGUUUUAACAUCCCUCGUCAUGGUUUUUGAACGCCUGAGAAGGGAGAGCUUUGAUGUGGGCUGUUAGGAAGCAGAUUUACAAUGCGUUGUCUUGUAGCAAUGAGUUAAUAUUGCCAACUUGAAAGCGAUCCCGGUCACUCAGUCAGGUAACAUAACCCACACAGCAAGUAACCCUGGGCUGUGUUUGAUAAGGCUGGAGGAAAUCCUAAGGCAUGACGGCGGGAAGUGAGCUCCAGAACAAGGAAAUAACUGUAAGGAUCAGCACAAUCUUUCUUGUGUGCUGGUCGGAUUCCAGGAACUAAAACCAAAACAGCCCAAGCUGUGCGAAGCUCCCAUUGUGCCGCGGUAUUGUUAAGGAGAGGGCCUGAAAGCUGCUGUGUGUGCCUUAGCCCUUCUUGGGUCACUUAGAUAACAGACGCGUACAUGUGUAACUGUUAAUACAUAAAAACUUUGUGGCAAGCAUGUUUCCAAGUUCUAGUAGCAUAAUAAGCUCUAGUGAGUGUCUGUUCUUCAAAGAGAUAAUGCAGCAUUACAGAUUUUAAAUUUGGAGACACAAAGGCAGUUAUUGAAUUGCAGAUUUUUCGUUGGUGUUGUCAGCAGUUCCAGUGGUGGAGUUCCACGAGGUGCCAAACAGCUGAGAGCAGCAGUGCCCGAUGCUGAGGCAGAAGCACCACCUCAGGGAGAUGUAGCCCAGCAAAGCCUAGGCUGAGCAGUGUGUAUAGUCUGGAAUUCACAACAGCUGGCAUGGCUCAGCUCAGACCAGAACAAAAUGCUGUGGGAUCUUGAACCUUGAACCCCACAGCUGCCCAUGAACCUCACCUAUCAGAGAGGAAAUUGUUGUCUUGGAACUCAGCUCUUUCCUUCUGAAAAUGCUCUCCUUUUGAGCAUUACUUGGAUGGAAGUGGAAGAAGAGUCCCAUCCUUUAAGCUUCCGUAGAUUCUUCCGUAGAUUUCAUUCUGGAAAGAUUUGAAUUGUCUGCUUUUGGUUAUUUCUUUUCUCAAGAACCCUAAAGAUGACAGCUCCAAUUCUCAGGAAAAUGAUUUAUUAAAACAGUACUUCCACCCUAACACAUGGGCUGUUUGACAUAUGUGGGGCAUUGGAUGUUACUUUCAGUUCUUACUAUUGACAUCCUUCCUCUUUUAUCAAAUAUACAAGCAGUCAAUGUGAGUGAGAGGGAGAAAAUAACUCAUCAGGCUAAGGGUUGCCACACUUACCAAAGAGGAAGAUCUGUUCUAUUGCAUGUUUAUAUAUUUCAUAUAUAGCAACCCUGGUAUGGAUAUGUUUUUCCCCAUUUUAACUCACGAUAGUCUAAUGUAUGACUAAAAUUGGUUAUUGGAUUGCAAUCUGGAAUCCUGACUUCCAUAGGCUUUUCCCACUCCCAAAGCACUACAGAGUUACUCCCUUUCUUGAAAUUCUCUACACUCUGAAGGCCUAUAGUCUAGUGUUCAGGACAAACUGUUUAAACCAACAUACCUGGUUCAGACAAGGAGGGCCAUACCUUGUGUGCAGACAUUAUAAGAGCUAG
rnacentral:lncRNA from 1 species